UACUCCUACGGGAGGCAGCAGUGGGGAAUAUUGGGCAAUGGGGGAAACCCUGACCCAGCAACGCCGCGUGAGGGAAGAAGGUUUUCGGAUUGUAAACCUCUGUCCUUGGUGAAGAGCAGAAGACGGUAGCCAAGGAGGAAGCCCCGGCUAACUACGUGCCAGCAGCCGCGGUA
rnacentral:rRNA from 1 species